CACACACACACACACGUAACACUUUAAGCAAUCGUUUUGCGCUCAGACAACGGACAGCGAAGCCGUAAGAAAACGACAUAUUCGCUGUGCAGGUAACAUUCAAAUUUAACCCGAGGAAAGUGGAAGUCCCUACUGCUCAAAUGACGUAAGUUACGGGAAGUUAGAGACUUUUUACUCUUAGGUCUGGUACAUAUUCAUCCGCCUAUAUGUUCUCUCACGUUCUCGCGCGCGCACACAUACACACACGCACACACACACACACAAACGCUCAUAAUAUAAACUCUCACGAAAUGGUUUUAUAGACAUUUAGACAAUCUUCAUUAUUUCAAAAUGGGACAUCUAAUGCGAUAUUUUAUCUUUAUUAAUAUAGUUUUGUCAUCUUACAUUAAAUACAACACUAUUGCGCAUCUAUAGUCAAAUUAUCUGAUAAAAUUUAUAAUUGUUAUGAAUUUAGCGUGUGGCAUGUUCAAUAAAGUACAAUUCUAUACAUUGUUCAGCCCGAUGCGUUGCAGUAGUUCUGGACAAACAGCAGAGGGAAGUACGACCCAACAUUUCAUAUAUUGCAGCACUCAAUAACUAUUGAAUUUACAAUAUUGGUUACAGGUUCAAACGUGGUUUGUCACCUGCCCCUAAAGUCGUGAGUUCGAAUCUCGACUUCCUCUGCGUUUACGUGGGGUUUCUCCGGUUACUCAUUUUUUUCUCAAUCCAAUGCAUCCUCGGUUGAGCGUCGAUUCCAUAACUUGUCUAUAAUUGUCUAUAUGUGCGGUGUGAUUGAUUACAACCAUUCCAGGGUGUGUCCAGUUACUUGCCCAACGUCAGAUGGGAAAGGCUCCAUCUCACCCGUGACAUUAGUGAGGACAACUGCUAUAGAAAAUAAAAGGCUUGGCUACAGUUUCGCCUAGAACAAGCAACUGAAUGACCAAACAGUACUCACCCCACACCCCAUUCCACUCCACAUUGAGUUGCAUAAAAACAUACAGUACAGGCACACAUUUUUUUUUUGUCAAAAACACAAUCUAGAUAAAGUAUGAUUAAACAUGAAGCAAUUUUUUUGCAUGUUGCCAUCACAGUUAUGUGACUGUGUACGCUUAAAACAACCAGCAGACAAUUGAGGCGAGGCGUUGGGUGGUUGUAAUCCUGUAGGGGUAGUAUCAGUUGGAUCUUCCAUUGAUGUACAUAAUUGGGUCCUUUUGACACAAUGGUACGAUCGCCCUAAUCACACAAAAGUUAUGGAAUAACACACACACACACACACACACACACACACACACACACACACACACACACACACACAUACACGUGCUUGUUUUAUCGUUUUCAUUAGCACACUGCAUGAGGUGGCAGACUGAGGCCUCAUUGUCUCCAUCAUUAACCAACACCUACGACCAGCACCUCCCCGCUCUCGCACUCACGCAGUUACCACAACAACAAGAAUACUGAGCAUUCUUUCUCCCGUUGCCCGGGUGACUUUAAUUAUGGUGUGUGGGAGGGCUUAUGGGAUGGCAAAAUUCCGGCAUGGCCAUAACGACGCGGGAUGAAGGCGUUCAGGGACACCCUAUGACGAACAAGAGCUUAGUUGUACAUACACACGCACACCACUCCCUGUCGCGUGUGUGUGAGUGCGUGUGUGUUUGUGUGUGUGUGGUGAGCAAGAUAUGAAGGAGAUCCAAACAGGGCCACUUGCACGCCAAUGCAACAGGAAAAAAUGGUGUUUAAAAGCCAGAAUGCAACAAUUGUUUCUUACACAGGCGUGUGUAAUACGGAGAAGAGGGUCUCCUUACAAUGGCAACCACCUAACUGUCUGAGAGGUCAAUAUUGUCGAUUGGUCUUGAGUGUUGCUGAUUUCUUUAUUCUAUGCUGUAAAA